CAAAUUAUAACUUUAGUAGUUAAAGUGUGUUAUUUACAUUAAUAUUAUGAUUGUGCAAUUCAAUUUAAUUUGA
rnacentral:tRNA from 1 species